UAUUUGUUCGCAUAUAAAUGUGUUGAAACAUUGAGCACUCUCACUGGGCAUUUUGGCACCCAAAACUUCACUUCAGGAUUGAGAACUAUAACUGCAAAAGUUAAUCGGAACCUUUUCUCCCAUGAGUUGUCUCUGUCAGCAUCAAAUAUUAAUGUAGAAAUAGAUAUAAGCUUGCAGCAAUUUUAGUAAUUUCAGGCAUAUUCUGUUUAUAGAAAAUAACUUCAGGCAUAUUCAAAAUUACCGAAAAUGAUCUGCUUGUUUUUCAAACACCUAGUACUACAAUUGGGUGUAUUUUUUUGGAUGGCCAAGGAAUUUGACUGGUAUUUGAGCUAGAGCUCUUUUGCCAUUGAUCAAAAUUAAUUUUCUGACAUCGUUCAAAAUUGAUUUUCUUACAUUUUGUGCACCUAGAUUGUGCCUUUUGACUAUUGUAAACCAGUGAAGAUAACCAGGACUGAUGGUCUGAUGACACCUGCUGAUUGGCCAUGCAAGCAAUAUUUCCAAUUUAGGGUACUGUAUGCCUAUUUAUUUGCUGGUCAACCGAGUGUGUCUAGUGAGGUCUUGCUUUUGACUCUUCAAGCAAUGCUGGGGUGGACCACAAAGCAAUUUACCCUCUUUUACUGUGUUAAUAUUUGUACCAUAUUUACCUAUCAAUGACUCAUGUAUUUCCAAGGUUACUCCCAUGACCUGGGAUGAGAAAGUUCAGAAGUUUAAUUGUUUCCUUUAUUAGCACUACUAUGAUAUAUAUGGAAAAUAUCUUGUUAAUAUGUGUUCUUGGCAUGCUUGGCAUUGCAUUCUUACCAUCAAGUGAAUCUUAUUUCUUUGAUCGAGAAACCUGCAGAGUGAAAAGUUCUCCGAUGAUGAUGAUGAUGUUCCCAGUGCACCACCUAUUUGUGGUUCUGCUCAAGAAAUUAAUCAAGGUACUGAGAGAAGUCCAGUAUCAACCAAAAAUGAUCGAAAUACAUUAAAAACCACAUCCAGUGCUAAGCCAGAGAAUGAUUCUGGAAAUAGGAAUCCUGAGAAAUUUGUAAGAACUACAGCCACUUCUGAAGAAGGUGCAUCUUCAGGUUUAUAUCCAGCUCGCCUCCCAACAUUUCAUGCAAUUGCUCUAGGACCAUGGCAUGCUGUGAUUGCCUAUGAUGCAUGUGUGCGACUUUGUCUUCAUGCAUGGGCAAUGGAGUGCAUGGAAGCUCCGAUGUUCUUGGAAAGUGAAUGUGCUCUAUUACGUGAUGCUUUUGGAUUGGAGAUUUGAGAAUUCCAUGACUGCAGCAAAUCCAAAUGAAGAGGACCCAAAACUUGAAGAUUCCAGCUCUUCACCUGAUGAAACCAAUGUCUACUGCCAAACCCGAGAGGACCAUGAUCAAAACAAUGUCUCCAAAAUCAAAAUGAUUCAUAUAUUAUAAUUUUUUAUUUUAUAAAGCAAUGUAUAAAUACAAAAUAAUGUAGUGAAUUAUAUUGUGUUGAAUAUUGUAUAUAUUUUCUUUUGCAUGCA